UGCAGUUGGCUGUUGCAGCCUGUAUUGCAGAGCUUAUGACCUGCUUUCACAUGCAGCAGAUUCUCCCAUAAAUUCUGAUUCAUAUCCAGCAGCUGAAUCCUGGGUCUUGCUGGAUAUUCUUUAUUCGCUUUGUUUCGAUUUUGUCGCCUUGAGCUGAAUAAACUUCACGAAGCUGAUGCCUGGCCGAUCUGUGAGAUCCUGCCAGACCUGCUGAGCUGUUCCAGCAACUUCUGUUUUUGUUUCUGCCUCAUGAAGAUCUGUGGGUACAAUUUAAAGAAGAGAAGGGAAUUUUCAUGGCAACAUUACAUACCCCUCUAGAGGUGCAAAGAACUGAGUAAUUGAUCCUUCACCUUACUGGCUGCGCGUGAGUUUAAAACUUACUUACCCAGCAGUGGCUGUACUUCAAAAGAAAUCUAUAUUGGCCAUGUGAAUUGGAAGAGGUUUUCCGGGACUACACCAAAACUAGCGUGACUGAGUUCAGGAAGACCAAGUCUACGUAUAGCCUAACGAGUAGUUAUUAAAGGAGCUUCUACAUGCCAUGACCAAAAAGAAUUGUAAAAAGAAGGGGACAUUUCCUGGAAAGUAAUCUGAUCUGAAGGAAAUGGAAGAAAUUUCACAUGAUCAAAGGAAAAAGGCCAAAGAAGAGAAGGAAUCUGUUGACAAGACAAAAGUGCAAAAAUUAAAUGCAUAUCAAAGUGAUGCAUGGCAAAAAGCUGUCUUUGAAGAGAGAAAAAUAAGGUCUGUGUUCCUGCCUGUCGUUGCCUAGGAGAUGAGCACAGGGCCUCAGUCAGGGAGUUCUGUGUGCAGGCAUUUUAGAACAAUGAGUUUCAACAAGCUCAGUAUAGAAAAAAAGACAUGGCAGACACCAAGAAGAUUAGAUGACAAUUCAGACUCAAUUAUUGAAUUGAAAUUAAGUGCUAUAUCUAAGACACUGUUUAUUGAAUCAAAGAUUGGAACAGUGCCUACAUCACUAAGUCCAUUUCAAACAGAUGUUUCUUUACUUUCCUCAAGGCACUGUGGGACCAAGAAAAAAAUGAAACUGAUUUCACUCGAUGUAGCACUCUCGCCUUGGAAGGCAGGCUUGAAUACACAACAUAUGGACUAAGAGUACUAAAGGAGUGCUGCACUGCCAGAGAUGUAUUUUCCCAACUGAAAUGUUAAACUGAGGCCUGAUUUUCUCACUCAAAUAGACAGAAAACAUGCCAUUAUUCAAAGAAGAACAUUUAUUUUCCCAAGUGGCCUGGUCAACAUUCAACCCUUCAUCAUUAAAACAGUUUUAUCUAGUCAUUUAUGUAAUUUCUAUUUUUGGAAAUUUAUUGUUCACAAAUUGGCUGUCAUAUUUACCUACAAUAUAAC